CCAGGUCCUCCCCAGUAAAUCCCUUAGUCUCGGUCAGGUUCUUAAGUUAACAAACAAGAGUGUAGUUUAUUGCAGACACAAAUAAACUUUAACUGCAUUCAAAACGUUGUUACUCUUUACCUUCUUCGUCUUAUUUUAUCCUGUCUCUAACUCUUCUACCUCCCCUCACACAAGAACCAACUGUACUAACUGUCUCUCUGUUUCCAACUGUCUGCCAACUGCUUUCCCAACUGCCUUUCCCAACCAACCAAGCCACUAAAACCAACCAACAACUACACCCAAACCUCCGGCUAAGCCCUUUUAUAAACAGGAGAAAAGAGGCCAAACUUACCACCGCCACCUCCGAGAAGACUUGAAUUAGCUGUGGAAGAACAAGAGAACCAAGAAUUACAUCAGAGCAAGCUUUGCGUGUUUUGUUUUUUAAAAUAUUCUCUAACAAUACAAAAACAAAAAUAAAGCCAGUCCACCUUCUCUGUCAACACAAGGACUUUAGGCAAAGUUUAAAUUAAACAUUACAUACAAAACAA